GUGCCCCAUUUGGCAGCACACAUACUGAAACUGGAACGAUACAGAUAUUAGCAUGGCCCCUGCACAAGGAUGACAGGCAAAUUCAUGAAGUGUUCCAUAUUUUU